AUAAUGAGUAGGAGUUUUAGGGCUAUUAUUUACAAAUAAUAUAAUACUGCAAAGACUCGAAAUUAUUUAGAAUUCCAGUUAUCGUAACAAUAGUUGCAGUUAUUUUAGUUCCAUUAGUGUAUUUAGGUUUAAAAUGAGUAAUAUUAAUUUGAAGAAGCAUUAAG
rnacentral:snRNA from 1 species